AUGGGUUUAUCCUCUUGUUUAAGACUCCUCACUGCAGAAACUCCAUAUUUCUGCCCCGCUUUGCCUGCUAAGGAAUUGAAUGGCGACAGCUUGGAGCUGGUAAGGAGCAGUAAGGACUGUGCCAGGAACCAAAAUGACGGAGGUCAGAGAGACUUUCAGAGGCCAGUCAAGUCAGGCAUUGAAAGGAGCUGCUGUUGAUCUUUCACAACAUCUAGUGUCCCUCUCUCCAGAAGCAGAGAUCCAUUAUCCUUGUUCCUGAGGUUCAAGACAUUUUUGUUGCAAGACAUCUGUUCCCAGGGACUAUGGAGAGACUGGUUUUGUCACAGGCUUGGAAGUCUGGAGAACUGCAGAGAUGAGUGGGAGGACCGUGCUGGGCCUGAGAGCUGGAUUCUUGAGAAAAGGUGUGAAAUUAAUCAAGCCAAGAUUUGGGUGAGAUGAAUCUUGCUGCAGUUCGUUGUAGGCUGCAUAAGACCUAAAAAUUGAGGAAACAGCUUCAUACUUUAGACCAGGAAGCUACGGGUUCUAAUACCAGCUGGUGCCUUCCUGGCUGUGUGACUUUGAGCAACUUAACAUAAUGUCUCUGAACAUCAGUUUCUUCAUCUGGAAAGUGGAAAUCAUAAUAGCUACUUCAAGUAGAAUUCUGCUGUGAGAAUUACAUGAGAUCAUGUGUGUCAAGUUCUGGGCACAUAAGGGGCACUCAAGACAGAUUAGUUUUAUCUACACUUCCUUAUUGAGCCAGUUGGAUUACCCAGGCAAUUGUAGGUGUGUAUAGAUCAGGUUAUCGGUCUACACUUUGAGACCUCAGAAAGCCGUUUUGCAAAUUCUCCAUCAAAACACUCCUGCCUCACUAGAGAGGCUACUAUUUCUCCCACGUUGACCCUUCCUACUGCCACUGCAGAGUUUUGGCAGGGGAAUGCUUUAUUUUGUGUUCAAAAUAGAUGUAAAUACAGGCCCCAGGGCAAUGAGGGAAAUAAUACAACAAACUAUCGACUAAGACUGUCAAAGUCAUUUAGUUCGCAUCACUGUUUUUGUAGGACACAGAGGUGACUUGGCGACUACCCAGCUAGUUAGUUUCAGAGUUAGGAUGAGAAUCCAGGUCUCCUGACUCCUGAGCGCCUCACCAAAAUGUGUAACACCUGCAGAAGGCCAUCAGCAAGAUUUAGGAUACUCCCAGAGGGCAAAUCCAUUGCUUUUUAUAACCAAGAUAGUCCAUGGAAUGUAUCAUGACUGUGGUGGUUGAUACAAAUAAAUUAUUUAAUGGAUACAAUGUAUAUUAUUCAGGUGAUGGUUACACUUAAAGGCCCAGACUUUACCACUAUGUAAUAUAUCCAUGUAACAAAACUGCACUUGUAUCCCUUACAUUUAUAAACAAACAAACAAAAAACAACAGAGUGGAUUUUGCUAAUGUAAAUUUUUAAGGGGAAGGGAGGAAAACUUCUAAGAAGCUUGUCUUAAUUACCAAGGGCCAUUGAAAAUUUUGUUUUCUCCUUGUUACAAAAAAUAUUUGGGUUGCCUGGGCUUCUUUACCAUACUUUUUAAAAAAAUAGAAAUUUUCACUUUCCACUGCUCUUUCCCAUCUGGUAUGGUUUGGAUAUGUGUACCCUCCAAAUCUCAUGUUGAAACGUGAUCCCCAUUGUUAGAGGUGGAGCCUGAUGGAAGGUGUUUGGGUGGGGCAGAUCCCUCACGAGUGGCUUGGUGCCAUCCCCAUGGUAGUGAGUGAGUUCUUGCUCUGAGUUCGCUCAGAGAUCUGGUUGUUUAGAAGAGCAAGGCAUCCCCCCUUCUCUCUCUUGCUCCCUUACAAUGUGACGGACCUGUUCCUGUUUCACCUCCACCAUGAGUAAAAGUUCCCUGAGGAGGCCGGGCGUUGUGGCUCAAGCCUGUAAUCCCAGCACUUUGGGAGGCCGAGACGGGCGGAUCACGAGGUCAGGAGAUUGAGGCCAUCCUGGCUAACAUGGUGAAACCCUGUCUUUACCAAAAAAAUACAAAAAAUUAGCCGGGCGUGGCGGUGGGCGCCUGUAGUCCCAGCUACUCAGGAGGCUGAGGCAGGAGAAUGGCCUAAACCCGGGAGGCGGAGCUUGCGAUGAGCUGAGAUCCGGCCACUGCACUCUAGCCUGGGCAACAGAGCGAGACUCCGUCUCAGAAAAAAAAAAAAAGUUCCCUGAGGACUCACCAGAUGCCGAGCAGAUAUCGGGACUACACUUAAUGUACAGCCUGCAGAACCAUGAGCCAAUUAAAACUCUUUUCUUUUUUUGAGAUGGAGUCUUGCUUGCACUGUUGCUGAGGCUGGAGUGCAGUGGUGCAAUCACAGCUCACUGCAGUCGUGACCUCCUAGGCUCAAGCGAUCCUCCCACCUCAGCCUCCCAAGUAGCCAGGACUGCAGGUGCACAUCACCACACCUAGCUAAUUUUUGUAUUUUUUGUAGAGACAGGGUCUCACCAUGUUGCCUAGGCUGGUCUCUAACUCCUAGGCUCAAGAGAUCUGCCUGCCUCAGCCUCCCAAAGUAUUGGGAUUACAGGCAUGAGCCACCAUACCCAGACAGGCAUUUCUUUAGAGUGAGGUAAGAACUGACUGACACACCAUCUUUCCAUCAUCUCACAGCCUGUGAGAUACGCAGUUGGCUAUUAUCAUCCCCUUUCUACAAGAGGUGUAAAAGACAUGUUGACCCAGAUUUGAAUUCUGCUUGCCACUUGUGUGAUAUUGGGCAGGUCAGUUAACCUCUUUGAGCCUCACUUUUUUGUUUAAAUGAGUAUGGCCAUAUUAGCUGUGGCUAUUGAGUUUAAUGCAGCAUUUCCCAAACUUCCCUCAUGAUGAGAAUCCUCUGGGUAUUGUUAAAAUCACAAAUUCCUGGGCCCUAGUCCAGGGCUACUGAACUAGAAUUCCCAGGGAUGAGGCCUGGCAGUCUGACAGGCCCCAGGGAUUAUCAGGGAAAUUUGGGAAACACUAGGUUGAUUUUUAUAAAGCAUUUAUUGUUGUGUCUGGCACUAAGCAGCCAAUAUUGAGCGCUUAGAUGGGUUCAAUCUUUGAAAUGUGGAUAAUAAUGAUUACCAGAUAGGGUUAUGAUGAAACACAAGAAUAAUAACGUAUAGUGCCUGGCAAACAGUAAGUUGUAAGUAUCUGUUGAAGUCCUCACUUCAUUG
rnacentral:lncRNA from 1 species